CCCUUAGACGUUCUGGGCCGCACGCGCGCUACACUGACCAGUGCAACAAGCAUCCGUCCUUGGCCGACAGGCCCGGGCAAUCUUUGAACGCUGGUCGUGAUGGGGAUAGACUUUUGCAAUUUUUGGUCUUCAACGAGGAAUUCCUAGUAAACGCAAGUCAUCAACUUGCAUUGAUUACGUCCCUGCCCUUUGUACACACCGCCCGUCGCACCUACCGAUUGAAUGGUCCGAUGAAGCCUCCGGAUUGGCGCGCACCUCGGUGCCGCCGAGAAGUUGGCUAAACCUUACCAUUUAGAGGAAGGUGAAGUCGUAACA
rnacentral:rRNA from 1 species